rnacentral:lncRNA from 1 species
ACUAGAGGCUCUAAAGAGUCUGUGUCGCUCACCUUGGUCUAUGUGAAUAUUAAACAAAGGACGCAGAUGGAUUCAUGACAAAAUUGUGUUUUGGUGAUGGUGAUGUGUUUGUACAUCUUAAUUUACUGAACAUUCUUGCUGCUUACAAUUAUCUCUAUCUAUAAUUAACUUGGCCCAGUAGUUUCAGAGCAGAAGAUUUUUGUAAAAGAUUACUUAUAUUUAUGAAAAAUGGUUAAAAAUUGACUAUAAAGGGCAAUAACUCCUAAAGGGGUCAACUGACAAUUUCAGUCAUGUUGACUUAUUUGUA